GAGCGGCCGGCGAGAGUUAUGAGUCUGGUUGCUUGGUUGGAACUGUGGUGGGAACACUAGCCCUGUGAUGUAUAGAUCGUCAGGCACAUAGAUUGUAAUAAGGCUG